AAAAAUCAACCGAGAGUCCGUAAGUAGUGGCGAACGAAAGCGGGUUAGGCUAAAUUAUAAAACUGUUUAAAAGAAAAAAUUAAUCCAUAGACGGUCAGUAGUCCGGUAAAUUGAAAUUUUUAUAAUUUUUCAGUAAAAUGAAUAAUAUUGUUCAAAGAUUGUGGAACCAACCCACAAAGUCUAAAAAUUUUAGUGUUUGAUAGUGAACUAGUACUGUGAAGGAAAGGUUAAAAUAAUCUUAGGAUUUAAUAUUUUGAAAUUUAAUGUUGACAAUCUGUUGAAGCUUACCCAAAAGUAUCAGCUUACCUUUUGUAUAAUGGAUCAACAAGUUUAUUAUAGUGGCGAGCUUAAAUUUAAAAAUGUAGGCUUAAAAAAACUAAGUUUUAAAAUGCUUUUAAGUCUCUAUAAUAAAACCCGAAACUAAGUGAUCUACUUAUGAACAGGUUGAGAUUUUUAAGCGUUUAGCUAAUCAGAGGACCGAACCAGUGUAUGUGGCAAAAUACUUGGAUGAUUUGUGAGUAGAGGUGAAAGGCCAAUCAAACUUAGAGAUAGCUGGUUUUCUGCGAAAUCUAUUUUAGUAGAGCGUUUAAAAACUUUAUUUUGGGGUAGAGCUCUUGAUAAAUAAUGGGGGAGAAAUCUUUACUGAAUUUAAUAAAACUUCGAAUACAAAAUUAAAAGAAUUUAUACAGACAGACUAUAAGUGCUAAGAUUUAUAGUCAAGAAGGAAACAGCCUAGAUUAAUAGUUAAGGUCCUCAAAAGUAAUUAAGUGCAAAAGUAAUAAAGAACAAAAAACGACCGAAAAGUAGGCUUGGAAGCAGCCAUCUUUUAAAGAAAGCGUAACAGCUCAUUGGUCUGAAUUUUUUAUAACGAGAAAUGUAUAGGGACUAAAAUUACUUACCGAAACUUUAAAUUAAAAAUGUUUUUUAAUGGUAGCAGAACGUUCUGUAAAUUUAAAAAGGUUUAUAGUUAUAUAAACUGAAGAUAUCAGAAUUGAUAAUGUUGAUAUGAGUAGCUUUAAACAGUGUGAAAAACAUUGUCGUCUUAAAUCUAAGGUUUCCAAAAUAAAGUUAAUCUUUUUUGGUGUUAAUCGGUCUCUAAAAUUAUAAACGAAAGUUUAAAUUGAUGAGUUUAAAAAUUUUAGUCUUUAUUAAUUAAUAGUGACGAAAUAAAAAUAUUUUAAAAAUUUUAUGGUAAUAAUCUCUAAAAUAUAUUAUUUUCAAGAAAUAGCUGUUGAUAAAUUUAACCGUACCCUAAACCGACACAGGUAGAUAAGUUGAGUAAACUAAGACGUUUGAAAGAAUUAUAUUGAAGGAACUCGGCAAAAUGACUUUGUAACUUCGGAAUAUAAAGUAGCUAUGUGUUUGCUAGCUGUCAUAAAAACGGGGAUAGCGACUGGUUAAUAAAACCACAGGUCUCUGCAAAAUUGUAAAAGGAAGUAUAGAGACUGACGCCUGCCCAGUGCUGCAAGACUAAGUUUUUGAGGUUUAAGAGCUUUAAUUAUUAAAUCCCAGUAAACGGCGGUUGUAACUCUGACGAUCCUAAGGUAGCAAAAUUUCUUGGCAUUUAAUUGGUGUCCUGCUUGAAUGGCGUAACGACUAUCCCACUGUCUCCAAUAUAAAUUCAGUGAAAUUGAAAUUUCUGUGAAGAUGCAGAAUAUUUACCGCUAGACGAGAAGACCCUAUGCACCUUUACUAUAAUUAUACAUUGUAAUAAAAAAAUUAUUAUGUUAAGUAUAAGUGGGAAGUUGUUUGUAAAUUUUUACACAAGUAAAUAAUUUAAACAUUUUUGAGAUACCACUCUUAAAAUUUUUUUGUUACUAAUUUUAAAGACAUUGUAUAACGGGUAGUUUGACUGGGGCGGUCACCUCCUAAAAAGUAACGGAGGUGUACAAAAGGUAAGUUCAAAUUAUUUUAAUAGUAAUUUUAGAGCAUAAUAGUAUAUACUUGCUUGACUGUAAAAUUGACAAAUUAAGCAGGGACGAAAGUCGGUUAUAGUGAUCCGAUAGUAUUAAGUGGAAAAGCUAUCGCUCAACGAAUAAAAGGUACGCUAGGGAUAACAGGCUAAUAAUUCUUUAGAAACCUUAUCGACAGAAUUGUUUGGCACCUCGAUGUUGGAUUAUCGCAUCCUGGAAUUGAAAAAGAUUCCAAGGGUUCAACUGUUCGUUGAGAAAGGCGGUACAUGAUCUGAGUUUAGAACGAUGUGAAUCAGUUUGGUCUCUAUCUACGGUAAAUGUAAAAAAUUGAGAGGAUUAAACUCUAGUACGAGAGGACCGAGAAAAACAAAUCUAUGGUUUAUCAAUUGUUAUACCAAUAGCAUUGUUGAGUAGCUACAUUUGGAAUAGAUAAUUACUGAAAGCAUCUAAGUAAGAAACUAACCUCAAAAAUAAUUUUUAAAAUUGUAACAGAUAAUUACAUAAAUAGGUUUGGUGUGAAAAAACUGUAAAGUUCAGCUAACAAAUACUA
rnacentral:rRNA from 1 species